AGAGUUUGAUCAUGGCUCAGGACGAACGCUGGCGGCGUGCUUAACACAUGCAAGUCGAACGGAAAGGCCCUUCGGGGUACUCGAGUGGCGAACGGGUGAGUAACACGUGGGUGAUCUGCCCUGCACUUUGGGAUAAGCCUGGGAAACUGGGUAUAAUACCGAAUAUGACCAUGCACUUCCUGGUGUGUGGUGGAAAGCUUUUGCGGUGUGGGAUGGGCCCGCGGCCUAUCAGCUUGUUGGUGGGGUAAUGGCCUACCAAGGCGACGACGGGUAGCCGGCCUGAGAGGGUGACCGGCCACACUGGGACUGAGAUACGGCCCAGACUCCUACGGGAGGCAGCAGUGGGGAGUAUUGCACAAUGGGCGCAAGCCUGAUGCAGCGACGCCGCGUGAGGGAUGACGGCCUUCGGGUUGUAAACCUCUUUCAGCACAGACGAAGCGCAAGUGACGGUAUGUGCAGAAGAAGGACCGGCCAACUACGUGCCAGCAGCCGCGGUAAUACGUAGGGUCCGAGCGUUGUCCGGAAUUACUGGGCGUAAAGAGCUCGUAGGUGGUUUGUCGCGUUGUUCGUGAAAACUCACAGCUUAACUGUGGGCGUGCGGGCGAUACGGGCAGACUUGAGUACUGCAGGGGAGACUGGAAUUCCUGGUGUAGCGGUGGAAUGCGCAGAUAUCAGGAGGAACACCGGUGGCGAAGGCGGGUCUCUGGGCAGUAACUGACGCUGAGGAGCGAAAGCGUGGGGAGCGAACAGGAUUAGAUACCCUGGUAGUCC
rnacentral:rRNA from 1 species